UAUUUUUUAGUUUGACCACAGUAAUAAAUCCCCAAAUUCUCAGCCUCCACCCUGCUGAUUUUCAGUGUGAAAUCUGUGCCUGACCCACUGCCACUGAAUCUGUCUGGGACACCAGAUACUUAGUUGGAAGAC